GAUGAACGCUGGCGGCGUGCCUAAUACAUGCAAGUCGAGCGAACAGACGAGGAGCUUGCUCCUCUGACGUUAGCGGCGGACGGGUGAGUAACACGUGGAUAACCUACCUAUAAGACUGGGAUAACUUCGGGAAACCGGAGCUAAUACCGGAUAAUAUAUUGAACCGCAUGGUUCAAUAGUGAAAGACGGUUUUGCUGUCACUUAUAGAUGGAUCCGCGCCGCAUUAGCUAGUUGGUAAGGUAACGGCUUACCAAGGCAACGAUGCGUAGCCGACCUGAGAGGGUGAUCGGCCCCCCUGGACCUGAGAACCGGUCCAGACCCCUACGGGAGGCAGCAGUAGGGAAUCUUCCGCAAUGGGCGAAAGCUUGCCGGAGCAACGCCGCGUGAGUGAUGAAGGUCUUCGGAUCGUAAAACUCUGUUAUUAGGGAAGAACAAAUGUGUAAGUAACUAUGCACGUCUUGACGGUACCUAAGCAGAAAGCCACGGCUAACUACGU
rnacentral:rRNA from 1 species